CCUCGGAUCAGGUAGGACUACCCGCUGAACUUAAGCAUAUCAAUAAGCCGGAGGAAAAGAAACAACAGGAUUGCCCUAGUAACGGCGAGUGAAGCGGCAACAGCUCGAAUUUGAAAUCUGGCCUCGGCCCGAGUUGUAAUCUGUAGAGGACGCUUUUGGCGCGGUGCCUUCCGAGUUCCCUGGAACGGGACGCCACAGAGGGUGAGAGCCCCGUAAGGUCGGACACCAAGCCUGUGUAAAGCCCCUUCGACGAGUCGAGUAGCUUGGGAAUGCUGCUCUAAGCGGGAGGUAUACUUCUUCUAAAGCUAAAUAUUGGCCAGAGACCGAUAGCGCACAAGUAGAGUGAUCGAAAGAUGAAAAGCACUUUGAAAAGAGGGUCAAAUAGUACGUGAAAUUGUUGAAAGGGAAGCGCUUGUGAUCAGACUCGCGCCGGGCGGAUCAUCCAGUGGUCUCCACUGGUGCACUCCGGCCGGCGCGGGCCAGCGUCGGCUGUUGCGGGGGGACAAAAGCACUGGGAACGUAGCUCUCUCCGGGGAGUGUUAUAGCCCUCUGCAGAAUACCCCCGCGGCGGCCGAGGUCCGCGCAUUGCAAGGACGCUGGCGUAAUGGUCAUCAGCGACCCGUCUUGAAACACGGACCAAGGAGUCGAGGUUUUGCGCGAGUGUUCGGGUGCAAAGCCCCAACGCGUAAUUAACGUGAACGUAGGUGAGAGCUUCGGCGCAUCAUCGACCGAUCCUGAUGUAUUCGGAUGGAUUUGAGUAGGAGCGUAAAGCCUCGGACCCGAAAGAUGGUGAACUAUGCCUGUAUAGGGUGAAGCCAGAGGAAACUCUGGUGGAGGCUCGCAGCGGUUCUGACGUGCAAAUCGAUCGUCAAAUAUGGGCAUGGGGGCGAAAGACUAAUCGAACCAUCUAGUAGCUG
rnacentral:rRNA from 1 species